rnacentral:lncRNA from 1 species
UUUACUAAAAAAAACUAUAUAAAAAAAAACGAAAAUAAAAUAAAAUAUAACAAAAUUUUUUGGACUUGGGCCUCUAUCAUUUGAGCCCACAGGUCCACAAAAACCAGGUUAUAAAUUCAGAGUUUCAGUGAAACAAAAGGACAUUCUAUUCCUAUUACCCUGGCAGGAAAAAGAAAGUGAGAGAAGAGCUAACAGAGAACUCAGAGCAGCCUCCAAACUCUGAAGGGAACUCAUCGGCAAAG